ACAUGGGCCACCUCCUUGGAAUCAGUUGCCUAGUGAACUUGGUAAAGCUGCAGUUUUCCUGGUUCCCCUUGUGGCUGCAGAAUCACUGGGAGGGGGGGCCUGAAUUUUUCUAACCGACUUACCCAGGUGAGUCCAGGCUACACAGCUAGACUUUGGAAUUACUGGUAGAUCCCAGGCGAAACAAGCAAACAAAUAAAAAGCAAAGCAGAUGAAAUAUUUAGGAGCAGGAAACUGGAAACAGAACCAUAAAAAUGCGAUAGCCGGGCUGACCCUCUGUAUGGAGCCAAACCAAUAAGUAAUAAUUUAUAAUUAAUAGAUAGCAAUUAUUUGAAGACUUACUAGGUAUCCAGGGCCAAUCCAAACGCUUUCUAUUACUUAAAUUUUUAAUCUUUAAAUUGUAAGGAACUUCAUGGGUGAGGUACGACCCGUGAAGGCCCCUGCACACAUGAGACACAGGCAUUUUAAGGCACUCAGAGAAGAUUACACAGCUGGUAGGUGGCCGAGCCAGGCUUCAGACUCAGGCAGUCUGGCUCCAGAACCUAUGUGCUAAAUUUUGACCAGAUACUGUCUUUCCUGUGCAAAUGCAAAUGCCAGGGAAACAAUGUGUAUUAAGGCAGUGCCUUUCCUCAUGCAGCCAUUGGUUCCUCAUAGUGGCCACAGGGAAGUGGGACUUCUUCCAGGGUGCGUCAGGGUUCCAGUGAGUAGGUGGGGGCUGACUGAACCAGCUUUGAAAGUGUCACCUCCACUAUACUCUGUCAGUUAAAGCAGUCACAAACACAUGCAGAUUCAAGAGGAGGGGACCUAACUCCACCUUUGAGGAGUGUCAAAGAAUUUGGAGCCAAGGUUUAAAAUCACCAUGUGGUUAACGUUUAUUGAGUACUUUCUACAUGCCAGGCACCGUGCCAAAUGCUUUACCGAGGGUAUUUCAUUUCAAGUUCAUCACAAUGGUAUGAAAUAUGUGCUAUUAUUACCCCAGUUUACAUAUAGGGAACAAAAGGCUUAGGGAGGAUGUGUAACUUGUCCAGCGUCACCAGUAAGUGGCCACACUGGGAAUUGAACCCAGAUUUGUGGGAUUUCAAAGCUUAUGCCUAAGCUGUAUGACCUUGAUAUUGUUCUUUCUAACUCAGCCCCGAUUCCUGACCCAGUGUGCAUAGUAGGCUCAUUCUAAGUGUUUGUGGAAGGGAAGAAAGUUUCAGCAACUAUACAUCUAAGGGACCUCAAAUACAGACUUUUGCAGGCAAUAUCAUGGUCAGCAACUACUACAUUCUCUUUUGCCCUUGUCAGAAGAGGAAUCCUUAGGAAUGAAUGGCUGCAUGGACCUCAGGCCUGGCACUGAUAUUUCUCAUGUAAUUGUUCACAGAAUUCCCUCCCCCUGGUGACCUCAUCUCCAAGGCCUUCUGCCUGGAUGCUGACUUCAAAGAAACAGGACAAAUAUUCUUUGGAAAAUACUUCUGAAUCGAAGUUCUCUCAGAUGCAGGAAGAAUAUCACAAUUUGGAAGCAUUCGUUCUCAGGAAUGUGGACAAAUAUCUUUUGACUACAUUUUACAACUUAUACUGAUCAGAAGAGUAAUCAAUGGUGUUUAAACUCAGUUUUAUUUUCAUGUACCCACUCAUCCAACAAACAUACAGAACAUCUACUAUGUGCCAGAGAUGAUGUUGGAUUAUGAAGACAUGAUGGUGAACAAGACAGAGAUGGUCUCUUCCCUCACAGAGCUUGUGGUCUAGUGAGGGAGACACAGUGAAACUAAACUUUGUUCCAAUUAGACUCUUUAAGCUAAAAGACAUAAAACAUUGAUGGAAGAAGAAUCUAACUGGUCCUUACUCCAAUAUCAAGCUUGUGCAAGCAGAUUCUUUACAGGCAAGUGCAAACCCUGAGACUUAAGGAAUGACCUUAUUUCCCAGAAGCAAAGAAAUCUGAACACAGCCCCAGCUGUCAGCCUCAAAGUGUCCAGUCAUUAGUGUGCCCACCAAGCAUCUUGAGUCCUCAUGCAAAAGGAAUCUUGGUAGGCCAUUCUGCCUGCCUUCUGCAAGAAGUGGGCUAGGCCUUCAGCCUAGAAGCCAUUGAAAGAUGUGCUUCCAAAAACUCACACCAAUUUUCCUUUUCAAGAUCAAACCAUAUUUAUCAACAGGGGGGUAUUGAUAUUUAAGGAAAUCUGCCUUGGUGGUGGUGGUGGAGGGAGGAAUCCUGUCAACAAUUACCCCUUAAUUUAGUUGUUAAAGUUUAGAUAUCCAUUCAUCUGAAGCCUCUAAUACAGUCAUGCAUCACUUAACAACAGGAACAUGUUCUGAGAAAUGCGUCAUUAGGUGAUUUCAGUGUUGUGUGAACAUCAUAGAGUGUACUUACACACACCUGGAUGGUAUAGCCUACUACACAGCUAGGCUAUAUAGUACUAAUCUUAUGGGACCACCUUCGUACAUGUGGCCCAUCUUUGACCAAAACGUCAUUAUGAGGCACAUGACUGUGUUUAAGCUCCCAACGUCUGUGGCAGUUACAAGAAGUGACACGGGGAUUCAGCAGGAUCGGAGACUUCAUAUAGGUGCAUUUUGAUAGUCUGUGGACUAUCUAAACAUGCAGUUAUUAUUUGAG
ensembl:lncRNA